GUAGCAUAAUCAUUAGUCUUUUAAUUGAGGACUGGAAUGAAAGGGUAAACUGGAAUGGAUUUUUUCAAGAUAAAAAAAUGAAGUUGACUUUUUAGUAAGAAGGCUAAAAUUUAUCUUAAAGACAAGAAGACCCUAUAAAACUUUAUAUUUAUUCCUUUUAGGAAAGAAAAUAAAUAUUUUGCUGGGGUGGCAGGAAAAAUAACUUUUCUUAUUUUAGAAGGUUCAAUAAACCCUAAUAUCUAAAAUUUUUAAAAGAAGAAUAAGUUACUUUAGGGAUAACAGCUUAAUUCACUUUAAAAGCCCUAAUUGACAAGUGAGUUUUAGACCUCGAUGUUGAAUUAAAAGUCCUCUUUAGCGCAAAAGCCUUGAAAGGAGGUCUGUUCGACCUUUAAACUUUUCCAUGAUCUGAGUC
rnacentral:rRNA from 1 species